CCUACGAGAGGCAGCAGUGAGGAAUAUUGGUCAAUGGCCGCAGGGCUGAACCCGCCAAGUCGCGUGAGGGAUGACGGUCCUAUGGAUUGUAAACUUCUUUUGUCAGGGAGCAAAGGGCGCCAUGGGUUGCGUUUUGCGAGUACCUUAAGAAAAAGCAUCGUCUAACUCGGUGCCAGCAGCCGCGGUAAUAUGGGGGAUUCGAGUUUUAUCCGGAUUUAUUGGGUUUAAGGGGUGCGUAGGCGGAAUGGAAAUUCAGCGGUAAAGUUUGGGGGCUAAACCCAGUCGUGCCGUUGAUACUGGCGUUCUUGAGUGCGCGAGAAGUAUGCGGAAUGCGUGGUGUAGCGGUGAAAUGCAUAGAUAUCACGCAGAACUCCGAUUGCGAAGGCAGCCUACUGGAGCUCAACUGACGCUCAUGCACGAAAGCGUGGGUAUCGAACAGGAUUAGAUACCCUAGUAGUC
rnacentral:rRNA from 1 species